rnacentral:rRNA from 1 species
CAGCAGCCGCGGUAAUACAGAGGGUGCGAGCGUUAAUCGGAUUUACCGGGCGUAAAGCGUGCGUAGGCGGCUAAUUGAGUCGGAUGUGAAAUCCCCGAGCUUAACUUGGGAAUUGCAUUCGAUACUGGUUAGCUAGAGUGUGGGAGAGGAUGGUAGAAUUCCAGGUGUAGCGGUGAAAUGCGUAGAGAUCUGGAGGAAUACCGAUGGCGAAGGCAGCCAUCUGGCCUAACACUGACGCUGAGGUACGAAAGCAUGGGGAGCAAACAGGAUUAGAUACCCCUGUAGUCCCUGUCUCUUAUAA